rnacentral:lncRNA from 1 species
CAAAUUUGAAUGGCUCUCCUUAUAUCUUACCACACAUAGAGAGCAACUGAUAUUAAAGAGAAGAAUGAGAUAAACCUGAAGUUAGAAUUUUCUGAUUAAUCAAAUUGAGGCAAUUACACGGACUGAAACAGAGCAACAGUUACAACUAGAAAUCAAAACAGUUUCAAAUGAAUCGACAAAAAACGAACCGAAAUUUUGGACUUAAACCUCCAACAACAACCUCGAUCGGCAACUCUAAUAGCAACGAGCUCGCUCAAUCCAGCUCCAUUUGAACGAAAAUCAGAAAAGAAAAUAGAACUCUUUUCCUUUCCCAAUCUAUUUCUUCCAAAAUUAUGUCCAGGACAUUCAAAGAAGAAGGUGGUCGUCGGAAGGGUUGGACGUGGGCUGCGGCGCUGCUAUAAAAGUGUAUGUGGAGAAGAGGUCGUUUGAUAUGAGGUGGGUUCUGGUUUUUGAACAGGACUGCUACUGGUCUCUCUUCUCUAUUAGAAUUGGAAUGAAGGGGAGAAGAUUUAGGGGAGGGGACCUUUUGGUUAUCCAGUUGGUUUUCCAAAUUAGAAGAAUAACAGUAGGGAUGGGUUCUUUGACCGAAACGACGCUAAUUCUUCAGCUUUUUC